rnacentral:rRNA from 1 species
CCUACGGGAGGCAGCAGUGAGGAAUAUUGGUCAAUGGGCGCUAGCCUGAACCAGCCAAGUCGCGUGAAGGAUGACGGCCCUAUGGGUUGUAAACUUCUUUUAUAUGGGCGUAAAGUGCGAUAUGUAUACUUGUUUGCGUGUACCUUAUGAAUAAGGAUCGGCUAACUCCGUGCCAGCAGCCGCGGUAAUACGGAGGAUCCGAGCGUUAUACGGAUUUAUUGGGUGUAAAGGGAGCGUAGGCGGGGUUACAAGUCAGUUGUGAAAUCUCGCGGCUCAACCGUAGAAUUGCAGUUGAUACUGGCAUCCUUGAGUACAGUAGAGGUAGGCGGAAUUCGUGGUGUAGCGGUGAAAUGCGUAGAUAUCACGAAGAACUCCGAUUGCGAAGGCAGCUUGCUGGACUGUAACUGACGCUGAUGCUCGAAAGCGUGGGGAGCAAACAGGAUUAGAUACCCGUGUAGUC